AUGUAUCCUCUCUUGAGGAGUCACAGUAGGUUUGGGGGCCACUCCCUAGACCUUCGCACUUCUUGGAAUGAAUCAACCCAGUAAAUUCGCUCUGUGCUUUCAGACAAUGACGUACAGUCACCUCGGAGAUACACUUCUGGGCACGUUUCUGAGGGCAUUUCCAGAGCGAUUUAACCAAGGAGGAAAACCUACCCCAAGGCUGUGCCACCCUAUCCCGUGGGCUAGGGUCCUAGAUGGAUGAAAAGGAGAAAAGGAGCAGAACAGCAGCAUCGUUUCUCUCGCUUUUUGACCGUGGAUGCAAUGUUACUAGUUGCCUCGUGAUCCUGUUGCCACGACUAAAGCUACUCUCAUCCCAUGUCUUCCAUAUUGGGGUGAACGAUACUCCCCAAAGGUUUACAGUGAGAAAGAGUAGCAAGUACUGCAAACAGGUCUGGAAAAUGUGCAACUUAGCAAGGCCAGGAGCAUCAACAAGGUUAAGGUUACAAACAAGGAGGAUGCAGAGAAAGCAGCUAGAACUUUGAAAGACAUUAGUACAACUAAGGAGAAAACUUCUACUUUGUGCUGUUGAUGGUAAAGGCACCUUGAGGCAAGAUACUACCCACUGAAGACUUCUACAUAGACAAUUAAAACUGAGAAUGCCGUUGAUGGGUUUCAUUUGAAAAUAGCCACCUGGGGUGCCAUUCUCUCAGACCGAGCCACCACGGUGCAAAGAAGCCACUAUAGCUGUCACAGAAGGGGCCUUGCUACAUACAUCUUGAGCUGACAUCUUGAGCUGGCACAACUCGGCAUUAUCAUCAUCGGUACUUCUUCUUGCAAGAAUAUAAUAUGCUUCCAUGGAGACCCCACCAUGUUGGAGAUACCAGGACGACUGGAUGUUUUGUGAGGAAAGCUAAAACCAUGGAGUGAAGAUGGCUCCCAGAAAGGUCAAAUGCACUGCAGAUGAAGUGUUGGAAAGGCAGGCUUACACAAGGCUGGUGCUGCCAAGGGCUUUAGAUUCUGGACUUGGAGCUGUAGGGUUUGGUGUUUGUCCUGUUGAGUUUGGGUCUUCUUGGCCCAAACUUUCCUUGCUAUGUCCCCAUCCCUCCUUUUUUAAAUGGAAAUGUUUAUUCUGUGCCACUGAGUAUUGGAAGUGUGUAUGUAGUGAGAGUUUUUGUUUCUUUAAAAAAAAAAACAUUAUGUUAUAUGAAUAUGUUUUUGUUUUAAUCCCAGGUGUGGGAAAAGAGGCUGCUUCACAGCAGGUGGUUAUGAUUUGCCUCAAGCACUAGCAGGAUCGUGAUUUUUGCCAGCUGAGGAUAGUUGACAUUGGAAAUUCUGGGAACUUUUGAGAAGGGAUAAAUGCCAGAGCCCCGAGAGGGUCCAGGGGCUCUCGAAGAAGAGGGUUGCUGCUCCCCCUGCCACUCCCGGUGGCUGUUGUUGUGGUUUGAUGAGAAGUUGAAAAAGAAGAAUGGACUUGUCUGGUGACCCUGAUCAUCAGGAAGUAGUCUAAAGGGUUCUACGCUCCCUUUCCCCUCUAACCUUUUUUGUCUUAUACCUAGUGUUGGGGGUUAGAAUAAGGGCUGGAAGGGAGGUAGAGGUAUAAGAACCCACAUAAAAAUGCCGACACGUGAAUGUUUUUCUAUAGUUUUGCACGUUUAAGGUUUUGUUUUGAGUCUCGGAAGAGACGUUGGAAUUUUGAACAGUGUUGGAACUGUUAAGAUUUGGGAGACUGUGAGGGAUGAACUUGAUGGCUUUUGUAUUGAUAUAUCUGUGAAACUUCAAGUAUCAGGGGCAGAGUUUUAUGAUUUUUAAAAGUUAUGUGUGGGAACUGAAGAGAUGGCUCCUCAGCACAGAGAACUUUCUGCUCUUGCAGAGGACUAGGGGCCAUGGCCAGCACCAUACGCAGGCUCACAGCGAACCAUAACUCCAGGUCCAGAGGAUCCACCACCCUCUUCUGUCCUCCACAGGCGCCAGAUACACAUGUGACACACUUACAUACAUGCAGGCAAAACAUCACGCACAUAAAAUUAAAAAUAAAUAUUUUUAAAGAUCUAGACUCACAGCUCAUUCUUUAACUGGGUUGUUUUCUUGGUUGUUGAGCUCUUUGUAUUUUCUGGAUAUUAAUCCUCUGUCUGACUGCAGCUGCCAAAGGUACUCUCAUACCACGUGGUCCUCCUCUUCACCUGAUUCUUUCCUUCGCUUUACAGAAGCAAAGUUUAAUGAGUUCCUAUUUGUUAAUCGUUGGCUUUAAUUCCUGAGCAAAUAGAGUCCCGUCCGAAAAGUCCUAAAUCUUGUAAGAGGGUCCUUAUGUUUUCUUCCAGCAAAUCCAUCAUUUCAAGCUUCACAGUGGGGUCUUCCAACCACUGGAGUUUUUGUUUGUUUUAUGUAGGGUGGUAGAUUUAAUUUCAUUCUUCUACAUGUUAACAUCAGUUUUUCCAGCAUUAUUUGUUGAAGGCCAGUCUC